UACGUAGGGGGCGAGCGUUGUCCGGAUUUAUUGGGCGUAAAGAGCUCGUAGGCGGUUUGGCAAGUCGGGUGUGAAAACUCCGGGCUCAACUCGGAGACGCCACUCGAUACUGCUAUGACUCGAGUCCGGUAGGGGAGUGCGGAAUUCCCGGUGUAGCGGUGAAAUGCGCAGAUAUCGGGAGGAACACCAGCGGCGAAGGCGGCACUCUGGGCUGGAACUGACGCUGAGGAGCGAAAGCGUGGGUAGCAAACAGG
rnacentral:rRNA from 1 species